AGAGCGAACGCUGGCGGCAGGCUUAACACAUGCAAGUCGAGCGCCCGUAGCAAUACGGGAGCGGCAGACGGGAGAGUAACACGUGGGAACGUACCCUUCAGUUCGGAACAACCCAGGGAAACUUGGGCUAAUACCGAAUACGUCCGUAAGGAGAGAGAUUUAUCGCUGAAGGAUCGGCCCGCGUCUGAUUAGCUAGUUGGUGAGGUAAUGGCUCACCAAGGCUACGAUCAGUAGCUGGUCUGAGAGGAUGAUCAGCCUCACUGGGACUGAGACACGGCCCAGACUCCUACGGGAGGCAGCAGUGGGGAAUAGUUGGACAAGUGGGCGCAAGCCUGAUCCAGCCAUGCCGCGUGGAUGAUGG
rnacentral:rRNA from 1 species